rnacentral:lncRNA from 12 species
GACAGAGUUUAAUAGGCAGGGGACAGGAUACAAAGUGCAAAGUGUGGCACUCACCCCGGAGCAGCUCCCUGUCUCCUAGAAGACACAGGACUUUUCCCAAGAGAAGUUACUUGGAGGCAAACGCAGGAGCUGCUGUGGGAGGUUGAGUGGUAGUGCCCGAGGGGGUUGCUGGCAGAGUCAGUCUUCAACUGGGUCUGGAAGGAAAGAUGAAGAAGUGGAGGCUUGAAUGUCUCCAGAAACACCUCAAGCUUCUUAAGGGAAACAUGGCCCUGCUCUGGUGCUCGAACCUCUGCUCUUUCCACCAAGCCCCAGGGCUUCCUUGACCUUGAGCGUCUUCCUGAGUGCCUGACUUUCACAGUCUGGGUGUGCCGGAGACCUCGGGAGCACUCCACGCAGAUGAUCUAUGCCAGCCCCAGUGACAGAGGCAGCGUGUUCAGGAAGAGUGGUCUGUGCUUCCCAAGCGCCCUCAGCCUUCC